GAUGUUAUUCUACAAGAGAAAAAUCGAAAGGGUUCAUUACCUAAUCCCAUUUCGGACAAAAUUCGAAUAUGAGGAUCAUUUAAGUGCAGAUGCCAUCUAUAUGUAUAUAGGCUGUGCUUGGUCGCAGUUACUCUGUCUUUUUCCCUCUUUAUAAAUCUUUGUUUCAUCCCCAUUAUACUAUCACAAAAUAACCAUUUGGGAUAGGGUGGCCUAAAGGCCAAGGCCAACGGACUAGUUGGCAAAACAGGAAACCUCGUUUUAAAAUGAAGUGCAAAAAGAUAUUUACUAGAGGUAAAGGGUGGAAAAGACAUCGAAG
rnacentral:lncRNA from 1 species